CCUACGGGUGGCAGCAGUGAGGAAUAUUGGUCAAUGGGCGCGAGCCUGAACCAGCCAAGUAGCGUGAAGGAUGACUGCCCUCCGGGUUGUAAACUUCUUUUAUAAAGGAAUAAAGUGAGGCACGUGUGCCUUUUUGUAUGUCCUUUUUGAAUAAGGAUCGGCGAACUCCGUGCCAGCCGCCGCGGUAAUACGGAGGAUCCGAGCGUUAUCAGGAUUUAUUGGGUGUAAAGGGAGCGUAGAUGGGUUGUUAAGUCAGUUGUGAAAGUUUGCGGCUCAACCGUAAAAUUGCAAUUGAUACUGGCAGGCUUGAGUACAGUUGAGGUAGGCGGAAUUCGUGGUGUAGCGGUGAAAUGCGUAGAUAUCACGAAGAACUCCGAUUGCGAAGGCAGCUUACUAAACUGCCACUGACAUUGAUGCUCGAAAGUGUGGGUAGCAAACAGGAGUAGAUACCCGAGUAGUC
rnacentral:rRNA from 1 species